rnacentral:lncRNA from 1 species
GUACGGCCUUCAACACCGAGCCUUGGCUCACACCGAACAACAAGCUAUAAAGGGCCCCAAAAUUACUAGUGUAAAACCAUUCAAACGGGAAAACCCACGGUCUAAUCUAUAUAGAAAAACGAGAAACGAGAAACACGUACAAACUACAUAAACAAACGACAACUACUGUACAUCAGAUUCCUGACUUAGGACAGGUGCAAACAUUUGCAGCGGGAUUAAACAUUUUAAUGGUACCAAACUUCUCCCUUUUUCUGAAACAAUAACAUAACAUCACAACAUAGAAAAACAUACGAUAAAAUAUCAAUUGGCAGGCUUAACUCAAUCAAAAAACGUAAAUUAAUACACUAUGAACGAAUAAAUUUGAUCUGCGAUAUCUGAAUGUAAAUGCACAGUUAAUAAAAUAUUAGGGAUAAACAUUCAAGGCCAAAAAGCAAACAAACAAGUCCAAACAAAGCCAUGGCAAGACACCACUGCGAAAUAUUUAAC